UACGGAGGGUGCAAGCGUUAUCCGGAUUCACUGGGUUUAAAGGGUGCGUAGGCGGACAGGUAAGUCAGUGGUGAAAUCUCUGGGCUUAACCCAGAAACUGCCGUUGAUACUAUUUGUCUUGAAUAUCCUGGAGGUAGGCGGAAUAUGUCAUGUAGCGGUGAAAUGCUUAGAUAUGACAUAGAACACCGAUAGCGAAGGCAGCUUACUACAGGAUGAUUGACGCUGAGGCACGAAAGCGUGGGGAGCAAACAGGA
rnacentral:rRNA from 1 species